GACGAACGCUGGCGGCGUGCUUAACACAUGCAAGUCGAGCGGUAAGGCCCUCGGGUACGACGAGCGGCGAACGGGUGAGUAACACGUGGGUGACCUGCCUCUAGCUCUGGGAGUAAGCCUGGGAAACGUAGGGCCGUAAUACCGGAUAUGACUCCACGGCGCAUGUUGUGGGGUGGAAAGCCUUGUGUGGCUAGAGAUGGGCCCGCGGCCUAUCAGCUUGUU
rnacentral:rRNA from 1 species